rnacentral:rRNA from 1 species
AUACGGAGGAUGCAAGCGUUAUCCGGAUUUAUUGGGUUUAAAGGGAGCGCAGGCGGAGAUGCAAGCGUGACGUCAAAUUUCGGGGCUCAACCCCGUCUCGCGUCGCGAACUGCGUCCCUUGGUUGCGGGAAGGGGAGGCGGAACUCGUGGUGUAGCGGGGAAAUGCAUAGAUAUCACGAAGAACUCCGAUCGCGAAGGCAGCCUUCCGGCCCGUCAACGACGCUCAUGCUCGAAGGUGCGGGUAUCAAACAGGAUUAGAUACCCUGGUAGUCCGCACAGUAAACGAUGGAUACCCGCGGUUUGGCCUGUAUGGCUGAGCCGCCAAGCGAAAGCGUUAAGUGUCCCACCUGGGGAGUACGCCGGCAACGGUGAAACUCAAAUGAAUUGACGGGG